GAUGAAGAACGUAGCGAAAUGCGAUAAGUAAUGUGAAUUGCAGAAUUCAGUGAAUCAUCGAAUCUUUGAACGCACAUUGCGCCCCCUGGUAUUCCGGGGGGCAUGCCUGUUCGAGCGUCAUUUCACCACUCAAGCCUCGCUUGGUAUUGGGCAACGCGGUCCGCCGCGUGCCUCAAAUCGACCGGCUGGGUCUUCUGUCCCCUAAGCGUUGUGGAAACUUUCGCUAAAGGGUGUUCGGGAGGCUACGCCGUAAAACAACCCCAUUUCUAAGGUUGACCUCGGAUCAGGUAGGGAUACCCGCUGAACUUAAGCAUAUCAAUAAGCGGAGGA
rnacentral:misc_RNA from 1 species